UACGGAGGGUGCAAGCGUUAUCCGGAUUUACUGGGUUUAAAAGGGUGCGUAGGUGGGCAGUUAAGUCAGCGGUGAAAUCUCUGGGCUUAACCCAGAAACUGCCAUUGAUACUAUCUGUCUUUGAAUAUCCUGGAGGUGAGCGGAAUAUGUCAUGUAGCGGUGAAAAUGCUUAGAUAUGACAUAGAACACCAAUUGCGAAGGCAGCUCACUACGGGGUUAUUGACACUGAGGCACGGAAAGCGUGGGGAUCAAACAGG
rnacentral:rRNA from 1 species